ensembl:lncRNA
GACGAUUGUGCUCUGUCUUCGUGAUUAUCCCACUUUUUAAAGAAAGUGAUCUUUCAUGACUUUUGUCUUUAUUUAAUUUGUCCAUCACUGGAGAAUGUGACAGAUUGCAUGUGAAAUUAUGCAACUGAUUCCCAGCCGAAUCACAUGAAAGUACUGCUCCAUAAGGAAUUUCAUGCUGGAUAUCAACAUCUCUAAAAAGCACCAGGCAGCAGAGACAUUAUGACUAACUGACCAACCUGACCAUGGAUGAGGUCAGUGUCAGAGGGAAGGAAGGAAGGUCCCAAAUCACCACCAUGAAGUUGAUCUUGCUGCAAUUGGUUGUGGUGGUUUGUGU